rnacentral:rRNA from 1 species
AUUGAACGCUGGCGGCAGGCUUAACACAUGCAAGUCGAACGAGUGGCGGACGGGUGAGUAAUGCUGGGGAAUCUGGCUUAUGGAGGGGGAUAACUGCGGUAAACUGUAGCUAAUGCCGCUUACCAUAGGAUGAGCCCAAGUGGGAUUAGGUAGUUGGUGAGGUAAAGGCUCACCAAGCCGACGAUCUCUAGCUGGUCUGAGAGGGUGACCGGCCACACUGGGACUGAGACACGGCCCAGACUCCUACGGGAGGCAGCAGUGGGGAAUAUUGCGCAAGGGGCGAAACCUGACGCAGCCAUGCCGCGUGAAUGAAGAAGGCCUUCGGGUUGUAAAGUUCUGUCGGUAGCGAGGCGUUAUCUACAGAAGAAGCACCGGCUAACUCCGUGCCAGCAGCCGCGGUAAUUC